CCUCGGGGGGCAGCAGUGGGGAAUAUUGGACAAUGGGCGAAAGCCUGAUCCAGCCAUGCCGCGUGUGUGAAGAAGGCCUUCGGGUUGUAAAGCACUUUCAGUGGGGAAGAAAGCCUUGGGGCUAAUACCCUCGAGGAAGGACAUCACCCACAGAAGAAGCACCGGCUAACUCCGUGCCAGCAGCCGCGGUAAUACGGAGGGUGCGAGCGUUAAUCGGAAUUACUGGGCGUAAAGCGCGCGUAGGCGGUCUGAUAAGCCGGUUGUGAAAGCCCCGGGCUCAACCUGGGAACGGCAUCCGGAACUGUCAGGCUAGAGUGCAGGAGAGGAAGGUAGAAUUCCCGGUGUAGCGGUGAAAUGCGUAGAGAUCGGGAGGAAUACCAGUGGCGAAGGCGGCCUUCUGGACUGACACUGACGCUGAGGUGCGAAAGCGUGGGUAGCAAACAGGAUUAGAUACCCCGAGUAGUC
rnacentral:rRNA from 1 species